GCGAGCUGCAGGCCUGGGCAGACGAGAUCUUCCAUGAAUGCUUCCUGGGGAACGAGGCAUCUGGCUUCCCCUCAUCCCUGCAGAGCAUCCCCGAGCUCAUCAAGUACCUGACCAUGUGGAUCUACUGCUGCUCGGCCCGGCACGCCGCCCUCAGCAACGGGCAGUACGAGUUCGGCGCUUGGAUGCCCAACUUCCCGUCCUCCAUGAGGAACCCCCCGCCCCAGGCCAAGGGCACCUCCUCCCUGGAGAGCUACCUGGACACCAUCCCGGAGGUCAACAGCACCAGCAUCGCCA